rfam:Clostridium cylindrosporum DSM 605 CLCY_15c, whole genome shotgun sequence.
UAUAAAUUAGAAUAUAUACCGUAGACAGUGGGUGCCAAUUGGCGUAACGGGAUACCAACCUGCCGAGGUUUCAGAUAAGAAAUUUUGACCUCUCUACGUCUACGGAGAGGUCUUUCAUAUUUUAUGA